CCUUAUUUCUGAGUAAUUAAGCUCCUUGUCCUCAUUACCCUGCUUAAAAAAGACAUUGUACCUCCUCCCAGAAAGAAGUUUAGUAAUCACACCAGCCCGCCAUCCAAAGUCAUAUUGUGCAUCCACCUUUUCCAGUAACUCAAAGUUUCUGUCUGCAUAACGAGGAGGAAUGGGUCGAAUGUGGAGGGAAUCCACAAUAACUUUUGUCCCAGCUUCAUCACUAUUCUUUGAGCUUUGAUACUUCACCAAGAAAGUGUUAUCCCCAUUAUCCUUAAUAACAACUGCAGGGAACCAAGCAUCACGUACAUUUUCUUUGUCAAUAUUCACCUCUACUGCCGUUCCUGAGCUGAAAGCUGAC
rnacentral:misc_RNA from 1 species